CACGUAGGAGGCAAACGUUAUCCGGAUUUACUGGGGCGUAAAGCGCAUGUAGGUGGUUCUGUAAGUAGGGCGUGAAAGCUCCCGGCUCAACUGGGAGAGGCCGUUCUAAACUGCAGAGCUAGAGGAUGGUAGAGGGAGGUGGAAUUCCAGGUGUAGCGGUGGAAUGCGCAGAUAUCUGGAGGAACACCAGUGGCGAAGGCGGCCUCCUGGACCAUUCCUGACACUCAGACGCGAAAGCUAGGGUAGCAAACGGGAUUAGAUACCCGGGUAGU
rnacentral:rRNA from 1 species